UACAGUGUAGCAACUGAUAGUGGUGAGCAGAUAGCUAUUGUGGUUUAUCACAAAAGAACCACUAUUAACUUGUAAUAUUUCUACUGAGGCAAAGAAAAUAAAAUCAUUUCUUAAUUGUGGUAAGCACAUUGUAUCUCUUCCUCAAGACAAUGUUUUUGGAGCUGAUGGUGUUCCACUCUAGAUAGCAGUACAACCACUGCUAAUAACUAUACAGCCUCUUGUCUCCUUAUAGGAAGACAGACCUAGGGUGAAGGAAGAAAUCAAGAAAAAAUGUGUUGGAAAGGAGUUAGGAUCAAGGAUCUGAAUGUGCAGUCAUGAGAGAGAACCCCCAAUAAAACCAGAGAAUGAAAUGGACAGAGGAAGCAUGGGAUUAAUUCAGGAUAAUAAUGACAAUACCUAAAGGAUCCAGUCUGGUCUUACCAGAUUAGUACAGCUGGAAGAAGCACCCAGUAAAAGUUUGUUGAAAGGUUAAAUGAAUGCAAACACCCAAAACUGCAAGAUCACUAGUCUGUAAGCUCAGAGAGUGGGGAAAAUUAGACUUAUUAGGAAACCACCUUGGUAGCCAGUUACUAAGAAAUAUCAAUAUGACGUCGGCUAAAUAGCAUUUAUUAACAACCAUGUUUGUUUGCAUUUUUCUCACAGUCAAUGAAUUGUUACGAAAUCACAAAAUAACUUGUUGUCUACUAUCUUAGAUUAUGUUCAUCUAGUUUGAAUUUUUAAUGCCUGCCUAUGUAAAAGUCUCUAGGAUUUUAUGUCAGAGGAACAUUAUAAUCUAAGUGCAGGUGGUUUUACAUAAGUGCAAAGAGUUUAAUAUACAAGAUACAAAUAUAACUUUUAUAUUUAAUAUUUCCCUUAAUAAUGGCCAAGUUUUUGAAGUUUUUUGUUAUUUUGCCUGAAGGAGGCUGGUGACCUUCAGGUCCCUUUCCUGGUUAAGACUUAAAGCUGUCCUGUUCAUAUACUUGAAUAUUUUAGGUGCCCAUGUUCACACUGCCACCUCUCUGCACAUGUGGACAAAUACUAUGCCCCAUCACCUUAGCUUUGUCCUGCUCAGGAAAAGUUUAAUUCCAUCCACAUACUUGGGUAAUUCAUUGGCACUCUUUGUUUCAGCUUAUUCGUUGGUUAAUUCAGCAAAAAUUAAUUGAGAUUCCACUAUAUGGCAGGCAUAAUCUGAGAUGCUGGGGUGAGCAAGUCAUGAAUGAAGCUUUUAAGCAAAGUUAGUCCUAUUAUCAAUUCCUAAGGAAUCCUAACUUGUUAUCAAUGUUGAUCUCUUUCUGUUUACUUUGAACUUGCUCUAAACUCAUUUUCUUUCCUUGUGAUAGUACACAAAAACUAUGGCUAUGCCUGUUUUCUCACUUUCAUUCUUUGACUGUGUGUAUGUGUGUGUGUGUGUGUGUGUGUGAGAAAGAGAGAGAGAGAGGGAGAGGAGGAUGAGUAAUAGGCCUAUGAGAAUUGUGCACAAAAAAUAUCUCCAUUGGUCUUGAGGUGUCUUUCGGUUGGUUUUGUUGUGAUGAUUGGUGCAUAGUGACAUAUUUGUACCACUUUUGUUUCUAAGCUCAAAUAUUGUUUAGUCAUCUUCUCCUCCUUGAGUUGGUAUAUUUACAGGCCCUUAGUUCCUUGGUUUUCAGCAUUAAUCCUAAUGUUAUGUUUAAAGUACAGUAAAGGUUUCCUUGUACUUUAGUUCACUAGUGCUUGAGGGGGAGUCACCAUAAGUAAUGAUUUUGCUUUACGCCUUGGCAGCCCAACCACAAACUAGACAGUGUUUCAAAAAUCUCAAGGCUUGCAAGGGUCUGUGAGAGACCAUAUGCAGCCUCAGGGAACUGCUAAAAUGCUCAGAUUAAUUGUCUAGAUACAAGUUCACGAGUCUCAUGAACAUUUAGAGUUAGAAGAAACUCUAAAAUCACUAAAUCACUGUUAAAUGUCAGGGUAAACCACUUGGUUUUCCUGGAGGAAAGUGGAAUCCAUUUAAGAAGCAGAAUCCUAAUAUCUAAGAUGAAGUUAAUGUAGAAUAUAGCUCAUGCAGGGGUAGCAGCCAUGAAACCUGUGGCAGCAAUUUUGGCCUCUGUAGACUUAGUUCCAUGCAGCUGCUCUUUUGUUUUCCAAAUUCACAUUAUAGACAAAUUGUUGUUUAUUCAUAUGAGUGGACAAACUCAUGAAAUGGCCUCAAGCAGCAAAUGGUUUUCGAAGCCAGGUAGAGUGAACUAGACUUUGGUUUAUAAAUGUGCUGUGAUACUAAUGGAAUGGCUGCAUUAACAGUCAACUUUAACAAGGAAAUGGGUUUGAGGAUAAGAAGCUGAAACGAGUAAAGAAGAGCAACAAAGCAAAUGACAUGCCUGAAAAGUAAACUUUGUCAUUUGAAAAAAGAUUAUGCAAAAUCCACUUGAAAAAAAAAUCAGUGAGAGGGCCAACUUGAUAUGUCUCAAAGAGAAUUUGUUGAGAUAAGGCCUCAAUUUGGCUCUGACAAGGCUAUUGUUAAUGUAGGGAGAGUGGGGUUCACAUCUCCCAAAACCACAUCUUUCAGUCUUUAUUUAUGUUGAGAAAAGAUAGAAAGAAGGUACAUUGUUUCUCCCUCAUUACUAGACUUUUUUCUUUCUUUCCUUUUUUUUUUGUCUCCAGACUGUAAAUCAGUUAACUAGGCAGGGUCAUUUUUGAGAGCUUUCGUAAUGCCAAGAGACACCAAAUAGUGAGGUAGAUCAAAGGGACAAAGAAUUACAGAGGCAUUGAUCCACUCUCCUUAAGACCCUGAGUACAAUGUGAACAGACUACUUAGCUCCAGGCCGCAAACCAAGUGUUUUGCAGCCGACCUAGUCUGUAUUUCUUGGGAAGUUCUCCCUGUUGCUUUUCAUAGUUUAGAUAAUCCACAUGAACAACCCUGAUUAAAUCAGUUGCCCCCAGGCUAUGGGCAAAAGCAUAAAUGGUUUUCAGAAGAGAAUGGUCCAAAAGCCUGCCUUUUUCCCUCUCUCUCUCUCCCCUCUUCUCUAUCUAUGGACUUGGUUGUUUUCUUAGUUACUUAUAUUUUUUCCCCUAAAAUUCUUUCUAUCCAACGUAUGGUAAGUAGAGGGUCUGACUUAAAAGGUAACCUUGCCAUUUUCAUUUCGUGAUUCGGUUUUUUGUUUUGAACUAUGUUACCUGUCUUGUUGUACUGAUUAUGAACAGUUUUUUGAAAGGCUCUUUUCUAGGGAGUGGUUAUCCAACAAUACUACGGAAGGUCACCAGGCAUUUGUUUCUCACUUCUGAUUCUUUUUAAACCAGGCAAUUACUCUAUCAUUUAAUAAUCCUUACCUCAAAGUUCACUUGAAAGAAAGCUCAUAAGAUUUAAGGGGGGGAAAAAAAUCCCUAAAAAUAAAAGUCAGGCUAGUCUAGGCCAGGGUGGGAAAUUCCAUUGUGGCUAGAAGCCCAUGGCAGGUAGAGUGGAAUUUAAUGAAGGAAACUGCUGUGUUUUUGUGUCUUUCUGUAUGUUUUUCCUUUAAAACCAAGAGCUGGGCAGGCAUCCCAUUCGACCUGACGUGACCCAAGCAAAUUGCUUCUUAUAUAAAAACAACUGCAGACUUUGAGAAUGUGAAAAUGCACUGUAUCCUUCUCCAACUGAGGGAAACGAAAGCCUGAGAAACAGGACGGCCUUGUCAAUACUCGUUGAGCAGAACUAUCACUCAAACCUGAUAAAGGGAGAUUAGAACAGGCUUCCUUAUGCCAGAGGGAUUCAUUAUAAGUUAGACUUCUUUAUUUAUUUUUUAUUUUCUUAAACAAGCACAAGUGGUAGAUGGAAAAUGCAUUUUUUAAAGGCAGGCUUUAUGUAGUAAAUGAUAGUAUGCACAGUUUUUAAAAGUCUUUUCAUAGAACUCACAUUUUUAUUUUUCUUAAAAAACUAAUAUCAAGUUUUAAAAAGACAAAGAGAAGUAUUUUCCUUUUCUGCCACAGUCUUGGACAAGCAAAGGAAAAGAGAUUCAGGGUGUGUCCACUGAUAUUGCAUUCAGAUGUGUUGUCUUGGCUUGUGUACUGACAGAUUUAUUUAAAAAACAAAGUUUAAAAAAUGCAUUGUGUGCUAGUGAAGUCACUUCAUAAAUCUUUUCCUUUAUGAAUUAUUUUGAUCACAAGGCUCGUUGUUUGAAUCACUGAAGGACUAUUCUCCCUAAAAGAAAAAUGCCUUCAUUUCUAAACUGUCAGUUCAAAAGCCAGCAACUUCCCCUGAACAGCAUGCAAGGAUCCAGAGGGCCAGAGAAAAAGGGACCACAUGAGUCCUAACUCUAAUAUGAAGCAUAAUUCAGUUUAGAUUUUCCAUGGUUCACAGAAGAGACAUGUUUUGAAAAUUUGAAUCCAGAGUCCUUACUUUUCUAAUAAAUGACUUAGUUUGAAAUAGUGAUUCUGCUUUAGGAAAAAAACAAACAAAUAAGGGAAUACAGGCUUUGAUGCAGCUGGUCCAUCAGAGGGCGGAAGGUUAGAAUUAGAAUAUUCUUCAAGCUGUGGCUGAAUAAUGAAGGGUAGGGCUUCCUAGCUAGGCAGUGACCACAGCCCCCUGGGAGUACAGAGGACAGAUAUUACCUAAUGUGUACAAAGACUUUAAAAGUUAAGUUGAUUACAAGCUGGGUGAGGAAGCUUGGAUGAGGCAGCAAGGACUGAGUUCCACCAGAGGGACCUAAUAGGAGCCACAGGGCUCCACUUGACCCUCAGUUCUCAAGGUUUAAUGGAUGGAUAUCGAUAGGAAGCCAGUUAGACUCUUGAAAUGAAUAGCCUUAUGAAACUAUUACAAACAGAAAGGAAAAAAUGAAAUAACAACAUAUUGGAAUAAAUGCAUACAUAGAGAUUGGUGAAAUAAGUUGAAUAAAGGUUAUAUUGUAGGUAACUGUGUGAUGGGUAGGAAUCUCCCUAACUAAUGUGUAAUGUAUUUGUAGCUAAGGAACUUGUCUUGUUCUAAGUUUGUUUUCCUCUCAGCACCUGGAAUGUUGUUGAUACAUUAAAAAAAAAUUAAUAAUUGGUCGGUUAUAUCAAUCUGUCAUGGUAAAUUGGUGAGAUGGAGUAAUAAGUGACUCGCUGGAAGAGAUGGAUAUGAAGCUGAUUUCUAAAGGACAGAACUAGAUAGCCUAUUAAGGAUUCUUUGAUUCCAUGGGUAUUUUUUGACCACUUAUUGCUUCCAUCUGAGAUUUCCAUGCUACUGCUGCUCCAUGAAAUGAGGAAGAAUUGUAUGGUGGAGAGCAAGCUUAUAUGAUAGAAGAAGUAAGCUACUAAUGUUGGAAAGGGCAAGAAAUGUAUAUUGUUAGAACAAGUGAUGAGUACUAUGAUUGAGUCUGAUUUCAAUUCUAAGUAGGAAACAGAUGAGAAAAUAAUCAGAGAAAUGGAAUUAAAAAAAAAUCCAAAGAGUUAAGGUUAAAUAUCUGAAACAAACAAAUACAUAAUAAUUGGAGAGGCUUAACAGCAUAUUGGAUAUGACAGAAGAAAGUGUCAUUAAACUUGAAUAAAAUUAAUAAAAAUUAUUAAUAUAAAGGGGAGAAAAAGGACUGAAAAAAUGUUCUGUGCCAAUGAUCUAUAAACAAUACCAAACAGUCUAAUAUUCUUGGAAAAGAGAAAAUAAAUGGAAUUAUUAAAAAGAAACAAAAGUUUAAAGUACAAUAGCGGAAAUAAAAAUAAUUCAUUGGAAAGACUUAUCAGCAGACUGGAGAUGGCAGAAGAGAAAAAUGGGACAAAAAUAAUGUUUGAAGAAACAGUAGCUGAAAAUGUCCAAAAUUAAGUGAAAAAGAAAAUUUAUUGACAGAAAACUACAUGUAGGCAUUGUUUCCAAACAUCUACAAGGCAAAGAUUAGAAGAAAAAUCCUGAAAGCAACCAAAGAGAUUUAAGGAAUAGAAUGCCUGUAGAAGAAAAAUUAAGUAAAUGUCAACUGAUUCCUCAUCAUAAAUGACAGAUGCUAGAAACAAUGUAAUGCCAUUUUUUAAGUGGUUAAAAAGAAAACUCUCAACUCAAAUUUAUACUUAAAGUAAUGAUAUCUUCUAAUAAUAAAAAAUAAAUAAUUUUAUAUAAACAAUAUUUGUUGUUAGCAUAAUUCUUAUAAGAGAUGUGAAAGGAAGUUCUUUAGACUGAAAUGACAUCAGAUGGAAACAGUUUUUAAAAAAGAAUGAAAAAUACUAAAAGUUAUAAAUAUCUAAGUACAUGUAAAGGAAUAGCUUUUUUAUUCUGUUAAUUUUUAAAAAUACUGUUUAAUGCAUAAAGUAUAACUUUAUCAUGGAUAUAUAAUAUUUAUAAAAUUUUAAAUAUAUUAAAAAUACUUCAGAGAACUGAGUGAUGGUAAAUAGAAUUGCUGUAAGACUCACACACUUACAUGAAGUGGUACAGUAUUAACUCAAAGUAGACAGUGACAAAUUAAGAUUGUAAUUCCUAGAACAACUGCUAAAAACAAAUACAAAAAUGUAC
rnacentral:lncRNA from 1 species